UCGUACGCACUGGCCCAGCUGAUUGAUGGUGCUUGCACCUGAUUGACGAUGGAUCACCAGUGAGUGGCGGACGGGUGAGUAACACGUAGGUAACCUGCCCCGGAGCGGGGGAUAACAUUUGGAAACAGAUGCUAAUACCGCAUAACAACAAAAGCCACAUGGCUUUUGUUUGAAAGAUGGCUUUGGCUAUCACUCUGGGAUGGACCUGCGGUGCAUUAGCUAGUUGGUAAGGUAACGGCUUACCCAGGCGAUGAUGCAUAGCCGAGUUGAGAGACUGAUCGGCCACAAUGGAACUGAGACACGGUCCAUACUCCUACGGGAGGCAGCAGUAGGGAAUCUUCCACAAUGGGCGCAAGCCUGAUGGAGCAACACCGCGUGAGUGAAGAAGGGUUUCGGCUCGUAAAGCUCUGUUGUUGGAGAAGAACGUGCGUGAGAGUAACUGUUCACGCAGUGACGGUAUCCAACCAGAAAGUCACGGCUAACUACGUGCCAGCAGCCGCGGUAAUACGUAGGUGGCAAGCGUUAUCCGGAUUUAUUGGGCGUAAAGCGAGCGCAGGCGGUUGCUUAGGUCUGAUGUGAAAGCCUUCGGCUUAACCGAAGAAGUGCAUCGGAAACCGGGCGACUUGAGUGCAGAAGAGGACAGUGGAACUCCAUGUGUAGCGGUGGAAUGCGUAGAUAUAUGGAAGAACACCAGUGGCGAAGGCGGCUGUCUGGUCUGCAACUGACGCUGAGGCUCGAAAGCAUGGGUAGCGAACAGGAUUAGAUACCCUGGUAGUCCAUGCCGUAAACG
rnacentral:rRNA from 1 species